CUAUGAUGCUCUACGGAUAUAUGGAAGCAGAGUUUGCAGGAGAUUCUGCCCAUCGCUAUAAGUAAACUCAGCUUCCUGCUCCAUUCAUCAGUAGAAGGAACCAACAGGUGCCAUUCACUUGCUGUGACCACAUCAGCCUGUUCAAGUUUCCCUCAUAUGAACGUGACUAGACUUUGCUUGAUCCUGUAGGAUUUUUGUAAGAGCAAACACCAGACAGAUGCGGUAAGGAAGCAUCAGUCGGAAAGGUAAAGAUGUCUAGUGUCAUACCCUUGUUAUGACUUUAGACUUACCUGUUCCCUGUAACUCAUUGCAUGGGAGUCAAUCACAGGAAUUACUGAAUUUUAAACUAAU
rnacentral:lncRNA from 1 species